rnacentral:rRNA from 1 species
GAUGAACGCUAGCGAUAGGCUUAACACAUGCAAGUCGAGGGGUAGCAGAGAUGUAGCAAUACAUUUGCUGACGACCGGCGCACGGGUGAGUAACGCGUAUGCAACUUGCCUCAUACACUUGGAUAGCCCGUUGAAAGACGGAUUAAUACGAGAUAUAAUUACUGGAUUGCAUUGAUUUAGUAAAUGAAAAGAUUUAUUGGU